UGGCAAAUAAGCUUAAAGAAUAAUCCUUUUUUAUUAAAACUGGAGUUAAGAACGCGCUCGUGCGCUCCAGGUGCUCUAAAGAGUGGCUGUCGUGACGUCACUUUUGCGGGAAAAACACGCGUGUGUUUCUGGUCAACAGCAGAGGGCGAAAGAGAGCCGCAUUCGGUCUGUGAAUGGCGCUCGUUAUUCAGCAUCACAACAUGGAGUGACAUCCAACAAAAAUCACUCAAGGAGAAAGAUUCCAGAAGGUUCCAAAGAACCCCAGAAAAAUAUCAUCAUCUGGAGGCCUCUCUCGUAUUGGCUAAGGCUGUCCUGGACUCCACCAUCAGAGACUGAACAAGAAUGGUGUGCAUGGCAGGACAACAAGAUGGUAUCCAAGAACAUUUCGCCAAAGACUGUGUGAAUGAGCCAGAAGACUAUGAAAAUAAUGUUUUUCUUGUCAACAAAUGAAUGUCAGAAAUAAAAUGGAUAGAAAUAAAGGAGUGUUAAAUAGGACCAAAAAAAGACACGAACAGCUAACAGUGGAUAAUCUCGGAAU